rnacentral:rRNA from 1 species
GUAGGGAGCAAGCGUUGUCCGGAUUUACUGGGCGUAAAGGGUGCGUAGGCGGCCUUGCAAGUCAGAAGUGAAAUCCAUGGGCUUAACCCGUGAACUGCUUUUGAAACUGUAGGGCUUGAGUGAAGUAGAGGCAGGCGGAAUUCCCGGUGUAGCGGUGAAAUGCGUAGAGAUCGGGAGGAACACCAGUGGCGAAGGCGGCCUGCUGGGCUUUAACUGACGCUGAAGCACGAAAGCGUGGGUAGCAAA